rnacentral:lncRNA from 1 species
AGAAUGACCUUCCUUACAACCUUCAUAUAACUUACUCUUCGAACUAUCUAGCAUAUCAUUAAACUUUCUAGCUUCUUCAUUUGGUUCUUCUACGGUAUUCUCAAGUUCUGAGUAGGCAUUCAUAUUUCCCUCUAAGCAUCAUGAACCAUUUGAGUUGUACCUACCUCUUCUUCUCUAAUCAUAGAUUCUUCAAACCUCUCUGCUGCAUUUCCACUAGAAUUACCCACAUCGAAUGCAUCUUUUUCCCCAUGAUAAU